UUCCUGUCAAUCAGAAAUACCCUUCAAUAUGAAGAAGUGAAAAUGAAACCAUAAGUCCAUGGACACAUGGGAGACAGACGAAUUUCUGGCCUCUCUAAUCCUUGAGACACAACAAUAUGGAAAUUAGGUAGAUUAAUAACCCUAAAAUGGCCUUUAAGUCUUCAAGUUAAAGGAAGAGUCACACAUCUCUUACUUUAAAUCAAAAGCUAAAAAUUAUUAAGCUUACUAAGGAAGGCACGUUAAAAGCUGAGACGGGCCAAAAGUUAUUCUCCUUGUGCCAAACAGUGAAGUUGUGAAUGCAAAGAAAAAGUUUUUGAAGGAAAUUAAAAAUGCUAUUCCAGUGAACAAAUGAUAAGAAAAUAAAACAAUCUUCUUGCUGGUAUGGAGAAAGUUUGAGUGGUCUGGAUGGAAAAUGAAACCAGCCUCAAUGUUUCCUUAAGCCAAAGCCUAAUCCAGAGCAAAGUCCUAACUCUCUUCAAUUCCAUUAAGGCUGAAAAAGAUAAGGAAGCUGCAGAAGAAAGAUUGAAGCUAGCAGAGGUUGUUUCAUGAGGUUUGAGGAAAGGAGCUAUCUCCAUAACAUAAAAAUGCAAUGUAAAGCAGCAAGUGCUGACAGAGAAGUUGCAGCAAGUUAUCCAGAUCUAGGUAAGCUGAUUGAUGAAGGUGGCUCACUAAACAAAAGAUUUUCAUUGUAGACAAAGCAGCUGUCUAUUGGAAAACAAUGCCAUCUAGGACUUUCAUAAGGAGAAGUCAAUUCCUGGCUUCAAAGAUUCAAAGAACAGGCUGAGGCUCUUGUUAGGGACUAAUGCAGCUCGUGAGUUUAAGUUGAAGCCAAUGCUCAUUUAUCAUUCCAAAAAUCCUAGGACUCUUAAGAAUUAUGCUAAAUCUACUCUGCCUGUGCUCUAGAAAUGGAUCACAAAGCCUGGAUAAUGACACAUCUGUUUACCAUGGUUUACUGAAUCUUCUAAGCCAACUAUUGAGACCUCCUGCUCAGAAAAAAAGAUCCUUUUUAAAGCAUUACUGCUCAUUGACAAUACAACUGGUCACCCAAGACCUCUGAUGGAGAUGUACAAGGAGAUUAAUCUUGUUUUCAUAGCUGCUAACACAAUAUCUAUUUGGAAGCUCAUGAUUCAAAGAGUAAUUUUGAUCUUCCAGUCUUGUUAAGAAAUAUGUUUUGUAAGGCUUUAUCUGCUAUAGAUAGUGAUUCCUCUAAUGGAUCUAGGUAAAGUAAAUUGAAAACCUUCUGGAAAAGAUUCACAAUGCUAGAUGCCAUUAAAAACAUUCAUAAUUCAUAGGAGGAGGCAAAAAUAUCAACAUGAUCAGGAGAUUGGAAGAAGUUGAUUCCAACCCUCAUGGAUGACUUUGGGGGGUUUAAGACUUUAUUGGAAGAAGCCACUGCAGAUACAGUGGAAAUAGCAAGAGAACUAGAAUUAAAAGUGAAGCCUGAAGGUGUGACUGAAUUGCUGCAAUCUCUUGAUAAAACUUUAAUGGUUGAGGAGUUGCUUCUUAUGAAUAACCAAAGAAACUGGUUUCUUGAGAUGGAAUCUACUGCAGAAGAUGCAGUGAACAUUAUUAAAUGACAAUAAAAAAUUAAGAAUAUUACAUAAUUUAGUUGUUAAAGCCAUGGCAGGAUUUCAGAGGAUUGACUCCAACUUUUUUUUUUUUUUAAGAAAAAAAACAGGAGAUGUAUUCAAACUACAAAUACUUGACUUGAAGGAAAAACUAUCUAGGAUUCUUUUUCUUUUUUACAGUAAUGUAUCCCUACUUAAAGACAGAUGGCCCUACAUAUAACAGCUAUGUACAAAACUAGUUGUAAAAUUGUUAUUGGUUUUACAGUGAUAAAUGUAAAACUAAAAAAAUCUGUAUGACUCAUUUUGCUGGGAUAUACACUUUAUUGCAGUGACCUAGGACUGAACCCACAAUACCGCUGAACUAUGUAUGUGUGUCACAGGAGCACUCAGAUCUGGAACAGAUGGAUCAGAGACACUGGGUUUCUCUUGCUACUGUAUAGCUGCCAAAGAGUGGCCUCUUUUUAUCCUGACUAGUCAUCCUUGAAUUUGGAGUUGUCCAUGAAGUUCUUCUACUGUCCAGAAAGAGGGCGCACACUUCCUUAGUUCCCAUCAGCGUGGUGGGAAAGAUUCCUACAGAGGCUGAAGAAAUAACAUUCUGGUGCUUUUUAAUGCUUAUCAAUGCAGAUCUUUCACCUGGGGAGCAAUCUGUUGUUCCCACUACAAUAAAAAAUAUGGAGUUUCUUUGAUAAAAAAUCUUAAUUUGUCUCUCCUUCUCCUUCUUCUUCCUCUUCCUUGCUGGAAGACAUGCAUGUCUGGC
rnacentral:lncRNA from 10 species